UCCAGCCUCGGCCUCCGCUCGCGACCGCGCCUGAGCCUUGGCGCGGCGACGCCUACGCAGGCUGUCAGGUCGCUUGGGGAAGCAGAAGCAGCCGUCGCCCGAGCUCUUCGACGGGUCGGAUGGUGGCGGAGGCUCACUCCGCCUAACGGCCGCCCGGGAUUGAGAUGGAUACCUCGGGUCGCGGCCGCCGCUACAGCCCCUGACAAGAGAGUGGAAGAUGUAAGAGAGGAAGAAGCACGUUAGGUUGGAGCGGGUGAGAGCUUGAACGACUCAUCAGGUCGUCGUUGCUGCUCGUGUGCUGCGAGGAUACUUACCGAAGGCAAACAUGUGGACCAAACAACAACAGAUUGGGAGCCUUUCAAUUGUGUUUGUGUGUGUGUGUGUGUGAGAGCUAUUUAUUUAAAACCACUGACCCAACCAUUGCUUGUUACUGUUUUGGUAUCCGAGCGCCUACUGCGAGUUUUCUCGCCGCACCACUUCUGUUUACCGAACAGUAAGUCGAAACCCGGUCGUUGACAGUCGAUCGGCGGUCGCUUUCCGAGGGUAAUAAACCCCACCAAAUGAACCAAUACCUUUGGUCGUUCGUGGAACACUAAUUGGCUGCCACAUUUCGUCCACAAAAUAUGCAGUCAAUCCACUUCACAGUAUACUCCGUGAAGCGCUUUUGGACGUCUAAACAACUUAAUAAGGCGCGAUAUCAAAUGCAAGGAUUAUGAUUAUUAUUUAUGAAUACUUAAAUCUGAAAAACACAACGGCCUUUAAAUCUGGACCAUACAGAUUACAUCUCAGUGGUUGGCAAGUAUUUUUUUAAACCAGAUGUUCAAUUGUGUUAGGCUGCAUUCUGAAUGCCUAUCUCAAAUUACCAUUGUUUUAGUGCCCAUCCCAAGAUUGGUGGUAUAUUACCCUGUGGAAAUUGCAUUUGCGGUCCUGUUGGCUGGUAUAUUUCUUCCACCACAAAUGGGUCAUGAUCAAAUUAUGCAUUGAAUUGCUAUAAAUAAUAGCAUAAUUUACAACAAUCCCAUGAUGUUUAGGGCACUCUGCAAAACUUAACUACCAAAUAAAAACAAUUUUCCCCAAAUUCUACAAGAGUAUUAAAUUUUAAGACAAUGUUCAUAAGGUUUAGCCCAAGAUUGUUUUGGGCCCUCAGAUUACAGAAUACAUGUAAUAAGUACAAUUUGAGAUCAAUUUGAUAUGUUGUAUAUUCUAUUUUGUCCUUUUCAAAAUAUAUCUUGUUAUUAAUUCAGGAGAAAAUGAAGCAGUGCUCUUCAGAAUAGAACAAAAGGAUUGUAGAUUUAGCUGAUGUACCAACAAAGUAGAUAUGAAUGGUAAAAAUGGGAUGAAUCAAAACAAAUCAAUUGCUUAUCUCCCAACAUUUAGAAAUGGAAUCAUAUUUGGACGUUCAUAUGAUUUCAUCUUUUAUCACUUAUAAAAGGUAGAUAUUGGGUUAAGAUGCAUACUAUUAUUUUAAAGUUAACCUGCAAGAGAAUCAAAUAUAUGAACAAUGGUCGUUAAAAGAAACUUAAAAUAAUGUAAAUAAACCACUUGAAAAUUUUGUUUGUUUUAAUUUUUGUGUCAUAUGGGGUAUCAUAUUCAUGUGAUUACAUUGAUCACGUGUAAAAUGAUGUAAAAGAAAGGUUAAUCAAAAUCCUCAGAGUAAGGAGUAUGUAACAUUUGGUUAAUACACAACUUGUUUACUAAGAAAUGUUACAAAUCUGAGCAAAGACAUUGGACGAUAACAGGAAUGGAACGUUAGGCCUUGGCUUUGGUUCUGAUCCGUUAUUAUUUUAUUGCAACAGUUUUGUUUUAUCCCAACAGUUUUGGAAAGUCGUUGACAUUAUCUAAUGGCUUCUAUUCAAUAAAGGAUUUGUGAUGGCA